rnacentral:rRNA from 1 species
UACGUAGGGUGCGAGCGUUAAUCGGAAUUACUGGGCGUAAAGUGUGCGCAGGCGGCAGAGCAAGUCGAGUGUGAAAGCCCCGGGCUUAACUUGGGAAUUGCGCUCGAAACUACUUUGCUGGAGUGUGGCAGAGGAAGGUGGAAUUCCACGUGUAGCUGUGAAAUGCGUAGAGAUGUGGAGGAACACCAAUGGCGAAGGCAGCCUUCUGGGCCAACACUGACGCUCAUGCACGAAAGCGUGGGGAGCAAACAGG